UGCGCGGAAGAUGUAACGGGGCUAAACCAUGCACCGAAGCUGCGGCAGCGACACUAUGUGUUGUUGGGUAGGGGAGCGUUCUGUAAGCCUGCGAAGGUGUGCUGUGAGGCAUGCUGGAGGUAUCAGAAGUGCGAAUGCUGACAUAAGUAACGAUAAAGCGGGUGAAAAGCCCGCUCGCCGGAAGACCAAAGGGUUCCUGUCCAACGUUAAUCGGGGCAGGGUGAGUCGACCCCUAAGGCGAGGCCGAAAGGCGUAGUCGAUGGGAAACAGGUUAAUAUUCCUGUACUUGGUGUUACUGCGAAGGGGGGACGGAGAAGGCUAUGUUAGCCGGGCGACGGUUGUCCCGGUUUAAGCAUGUAGGCUGGUUAUCCAGGCAAAUCCGGAUAAUCAAGGCUGAGGUGUGAUGACGAGGCACUACGGUGCUGAAGUAACAAAUGCCCUGCUUCCAGGAAAAGCCUCUAAGC
rnacentral:rRNA from 1 species